GCUCUGUCUUAUCGGGGUGCCUUGACUUGCACCUCGGGGACCGGCACGGUUUUCGGUCUGGUGGCGAGUGGCGAACGGGUGAGUAAUGUAUCGGAACGUGCCCAGUAGCGGGGGAUAACUACGCGAAAGCGUAGCUAAUACCGCAUACGCCCUACGGGGGAAAGCAGGGGAUCGCAAGACCUUGCACUAUUGGAGCGGCCGAUAUCGGAUUAGCUAGUUGGUGGGGUAACGGCUCACCAAGGCGACGAUCCGUAGCUGGUUUGAGAGGACGACCAGCCACACUGGGACUGAGACACGGCCCAGACUCCUACGGGAGGCAGCAGUGGGGAAUUUUGGACAAUGGGGGAAACCCUGAUCCAGCCAUCCCGCGUGUGCGAUGAAGGCCUUCGGGUUGUAAAGCACUUUUGGCAGGAAAGAAACGUCGUGGGUUAAUACCCCGCGAAACUGACGGUACCUGCAGAAUAAGCACCGGCUAACUACGUGCCAGCAGCCGCGGUAAUACGUAGGGUGCAAGCGUUAAUCGGAAUUACUGGGCGUAAAGCGUGCGCAGGCGGUUCGGAAAGAAAGAUGUGAAAUCCCAGAGCUUAACUUUGGAACUGCAUUUUUAACUACCGAGCUAGAGUGUGUCAGAGGGAGGUGGAAUUCCGCGUGUAGCAGUGAAAUGCGUAGAUAUGCGGAGGAACACCGAUGGCGAAGGCAGCCUCCUGGGAUAACACUGACGCUCAUGCACGAAAGCGUGGGGAGCAAACAGGAUUAGAUACCCUGAUAGUCCACGCCCUAAACGAUGUC
rnacentral:rRNA from 1 species